UACGUAGGUGACCAGCGUUGUCCGGAUUUACUGGGCGUAAAGAGCGCGCAGGCGGUCGUUCAAGUCGAGUGUGAAAGCCCCCGGCUCAACUGGGGAGGGUCACUCGAUACUGAUCGACUUGAAGGCAGGAGAGGGAAGCGGAAGUCCCGGUGUAGUGGUGAAAUGCGUAGAUAUCUGGAGGAACACCGGUGGCGAAGGCGGCAUCCUGGACCGGUAUUGACGCUGAGGCGCGAAAGCCAGGGGAGCAAAC
rnacentral:rRNA from 1 species